UAUGGCCACAUCAUGUUGAAACCCCAGUUCCCAUAUGAUCAUCAAAGUUAACCAACAUUGAGCCUGGUCAGUACCUACAUGGGUGACCGCUUCAGAAUAUCAGGUGCUGUAAG